AUGAACCUCUGGAACAGGUGGGAAGGGGCCGUAGGGAGGGCCGAGCGACUCAGGCACGAGUUUCUGCAGGGGUUUUGAAGGCCUGGCUUAGCUUCAGGGGGCCAAGUGUUAGCUCUUCCAGGGGAUGGGCCAGUUUGGAGGGGCAGGGGGCAGACAGACUUGGGGGAUUUGUUUGGUUUUGUUUGGGGGAUGGGGGUGGCAGUGGCAGGGUUACUGGGAAGGUUGUUGAGUCCUUCCAGAGAUGUGGCAGUGGAGCUAAGAAUACCCAAACCACACACCAGCAAUCCUAAGCAGGCACUUCAUGGGCGUGGUGGGGUAUUCUGUCGCUCCCCCACCCCCUCUGAGCAAGUUCAAAUGGGUUCCAAGAACUUUUUGACUCAGUUACCUCUUUGACUGGACUGAGUGACUUCCAGGCCCUUGGGCCACCCCCCUUACCCUGUGCCCAGCUCACAUUUGUCACCUAGUUCUUUGUUGUCCAGAACUUUGCAGACGCUGGACAUCGAAUAAAUGGGAUUCUCAAAAUUCUUGACUACGCAAAUGUUUUUGAUUGAUUCCACAACUGGGCCCUAAACCGCUCAGCUCUGUGAUGGUUUUUUUCGUCCCUCUGGUUACAGCCAAUAAAUCAAUCUCCAUUUCCUCAAGGUCACCGUGGACAAUAUUAUAACACAGUCUUGUUGGACUGAGGUGGGGGCUGGGGCACCUAUACAUCUGGGCGCCCUGUUUUCUGAACUUUACUUAAAGUGAAUCUGAGGCAAGAGCUUCGCUGUUUUGAGGUGUGUACCAGGUUUCCCAAGAACGUUUCUGAGGUCUUAUAAUUGGCACUUUUUAAUGGUCUCAUAAUUGAAACCCAGGAGGUUCCCGUGGUAAUCUUGAAGCACCUUGGGGUCAGUGGGACAGAAGCAGGGUGGAAACAGCAGUGGAGUUAUGAUUUUCCUGCCAGAUGAGUUUUACAGUGAGUUUAUGCAAGAGGUAGAAAUGAAAGGGAGUUGCCUCACUGUGCCACUUUGCUGACACUGCCCCCCCCCCCUUUAUUACUCAGUUUGGCCCUUUCAGGAGACUGGAGGCUGUCUAUUCCUAUGAAAUCUGAGGGUUGAGAACUCAGACAGUGUCCCUUUCAUCCUCUUUCAAGAGAUCUGAGAAUGCAAGAGACAUUUCCUCAGGAGAAAUUGCCCAAGACACAGGCAUUGGCUUUACUCUGGAGAGGUUGCUAGAGGCGGUGGUGAUUGCUCCUUGGCCAUAGGGGUGGGUGGGAGACAGAGGACCCUGCUUAGCUGUUGAUUGGUUUGCCAGCUUGUGAUAAGAUGGUGAUUUAUGUUCCUUUCCAUCCUCCAAAUGGAUUUGGAGAUUUUCCUUUCUUUGAAGUGCUCUUUCAAGUGUUUGGGCUCCUACCUCUCUUCGGCAACUUAUCUGUGGUUUCCAUUCCCUAAGAAGGAGUAGGGGACUUUACUCAUUAAAUAAUUCAGUGGGCUUCCUCAGGGACCCCCAGGGUUUAAGCAAGAAGACAAGAAGCGAGCCUGGUGGUCACAGUAUUCCACGAGACCCUAUGGGGUCUGGGUUCAGAUUUCAGCAAAGUCCCUGAUAGGGUUAAUGAAUAAGGGGUUUUCUGUCUGUCUUUCAAACAAGUAGGAAGAAGCUGAAGAAGAGCCAAAUGCACCAGUUAAUUGAUGUCCAGUACUUUCUGGCCUCUGAUCCCAGCACGAACUUCCUGGAACCCAUGACCCAUGACGUCUUGUCAACACUCACACCAUCUGAGGGUAGCAGCCAUGAAGUAGAAGAAGCAGAGAGAGACAGAGCAUGAACGGGGGAGGGGCAGAGAGAGAGGGAGACAC